AACGCGAAGAACCUUACCUACCCUUGACAUCCUGCGAAUCUUGGUGAGAGCUGAGAGUGCCGAAAGGAGCGCAGAGACAGGUGCUGCAUGGCUGUCGUCAGCUCGUGUUGUGAGAUGUUGGGUUAAGUCCCGUAACGAGCGCAACCCUUGUUCUUAGUUGCCAGCAAGUAAAGUUGGGGACUCUAAGAAGACUGCCGGUGAUGAACCGGAGGAAGGCGGGGACGACGUCAAGUCAUCAUGGCCUUUAUGGGUAGGGCUACACACGUGCUACAAUGGGGCGUACAGAGGGUAGCCAACCAGCGAUGGGGAGCCAAUCUCAAAAAGCGUCUCGUAGUCCGGAUUGGAGUCUGCAACUCGACUCCAUGAAGUUGGAAUCGCUAGUAAUCGCGAAUCAGCCAUGUCGCGGUGAAUACGUUCCCGGGCCUUGUACACACCGGAGUGC
rnacentral:rRNA from 1 species